UACGUAGGGUGCGAGCGUUGUCCGGAAUUAUUGGGCGUAAAGAGCUCGUAGGCGGUGUGUCGCGUCGGCCGUGAAAACCUGCAGCUUAACUGUGGGCUUGCGGUCGAUACGGGCAUCACUGGAGUUCGGCAGGGGAGACUGGAAUUCCUGGUGUAGCGGUGAAAUGCGUAGAUAUUGGGAGGAACACCAGUGGCGAAGGCGGCUCACUGGACCGGUACUGACGCUGAUGCGCGAAAGCGUGGGGAGCAAACAGG
rnacentral:rRNA from 1 species